UUUUUAAAAAGAUAAUUUAGAUAGGAUUUAACCAGAAGUCUGAAAUAGGAAUCCAUAUUUGAACACAUUUUAAAGAAACACAUUAAUGUUUAAAGAAACACAUCACUAAUGUGAUGUAUGUAUCCAUACUAUCCCGGCAUCAAAAGAGUUAACUACUUCUGUCUGACUUCCACCUAUGUGUUUGAGUAGACAAUGGCUGAAAAGAAAAUACCUUAUUCGACAAACCUUAUUUAAGCAUCUGUUGCCAAGCACAGUGUUAGUUGCUGAUAUUUAAUUCCAAAAUCAUACUGAAAAACAUUGAUCCAAGAUGGUGGUUAUGUUAGCCACUCCAAGUCUCCCUGACCUUCUGGAGACACUAACAUUUUUGGACAUGUGUUCCACUUGCUUUUUCAACACUGGACAGAGUGAAGAACUGAAAGAGAUUGCUUCUGAUUUCUUAAUCUUGAUUUUGCUGUGAAGGCAGACUGUAGGGAUCAUCAGUAAAUGAAAAAGGGUGGGAGGGAAGGGAAUGAAGCUUCAUGAAUUACUCUUUGUCCUCCCAGAUCUGAUGAUGAUCUCCCUUGUAACUUGAACCAUUUCCAUCUAGCUUCUCAGGGCAGCAAGGAGCUUGUUAACAUCACCAGCUGACCAUGUGUCUCCUUUUCUCAACGCCAUUUCCAACUUCGUGCUGAAGAAAAACAAGAACCUAGCGUGCAUUCUGUGAAGAAACAGGAAGAUGGUUGGGAAGUUGGAUGAUGCAUGAAAAAUAUAAUAGGUGAAAAGAGGACAGAGGUGGUUAACUCACUGGCGCCAGCGUUAUUUUGGUGCGUCCAUUGCCGACAAUGGAUGUCGUUCCGGGAAAUUCCCUACUUCUGGCGAGAAAGGAUUAAGAGGUGUAUCGAAUUCCAAAGAAAAGUCAAACUGAAAAGGAGAGCACAGUAACUGAGCGAGGAAGAGAUGCUGUUGGACUCAGAGAUCAAACAGCUGCCCCAAAGACUCCUAACAGGUCAAGAGAGAGAGAUCUAGAUAAGCAGACUCAGAGUAAAGAGAAAAGGAAACGAAGGGGCUCCCUCUCACCACCUUCUUCUGCCUAUGAGCGGGGAACAAAAAGGUCAGAUGACAGGUAAGUGAUUGUGUUUUCUUUUUGGGGGCCAAGUCAGAAAGUAUCCAAGCCAGCAGAUGUGGUGACUUGUAAUCCUAGCACUCUAGGAGGUUGAGACAGGAGAAUUGCAAGGUCAAGGCAAAUCUGGGCAACUUAGAGACUUAGACUGUCUAAAAAGUUAGAAGGACUAGAAACGUUGCUCAGUGUGAAGGCCCUAGGUUCAGUCCCCAGUACUGCCACAAAAACAAAAACUAAAAACGGUGCCCAAGUGUCAUGCAGUUUGCUCUGAGUCUACUUCUGACUUUGGAUACCAGUGACUUUUGGAAUUAGUAUUAUGUCUUGAUGAGUGAUAAAUCUUAAAGGUUCUCAAUCUCAUUUGGAUAGUUUCUAUUUGAUAAUAUAUAAGUACUAUUUAGGGAACCAAAGAUUUAUUCUUUAAAGUGCAAUGGAGAUUGAUGGGAGAUAACUCUUCAAAAGUAAUGGUGUCAAAAGGCUGAGGCAGGAAGAUUGCAAAUUUGAGGCCAGCCUGGGCAAUUUAGGGAGACCUUGGCUUUAAAAAAUUUAAAAAUUUGGGGAUGUAGAGCACCCCUCCAUUCAGUCCUCAGCACCUUCCCCCAAAGUAAUAAUAAUUCUUCCAAAGUCAGAACUUUAAAGGUGAUGGUCUGCACUUGUAAUCCCAGGUACCCUGAAGGCUGAGGCGAGAGGAUCACAAAGUUUAAGACCAGCCUAGGCAAUUUAAAUUUUUUGAAAAAAAGAGAGGGAGCUAGGAAUAUAACUCAAUGGCAGUGUGCUUGCCUAACAUUCAAGGGCCUGCGUUCAAUCACCACUACCAUCAAAAAAAGGGGUAAGAACUUUGCUGAGCAUGGUGGCUCAUACCUGUAAUCCCAGCUACUUAGAGGGUGAGGCAGGAGAAUCACAAGAGUGAGGCCAGCCUGGGCAACUUACUUGUUUUCUAGUGAAUCUAGUGAACCUUGUGCCACACCAAUCAAAAUACUGAUUUAAAAAUACCAGAGACUCCCUUCUGCUGGUGGAAAAGCAAACCACAUUGAGAGCUAACAAGUAUUUCUUCCAUGGAAAUUCUUUUCAAGUUAAAUUUGCUUUUUAAAAAAACUAACAAAUAGGAUUUGUAUAAUUCAGUUGCCAGAAUUUUUUAAUUUUGGGCAGUGUAGAUAUUUAAUAGUAAUUCAUUGUGAUUUUAAUUUCAUUUCCCUGAUCACUAAAUAGAUCAAACAUCUUGUUAUGUUUAUUGGCC
rnacentral:lncRNA from 1 species